GCUCAGUUCAGAUCGUAGGCCGCAACUCGCCUACGUGAAGGAGGAAUCGCUAGUAAUCGCAGGUCAGCAUACUGCGGUGAAUACGUUCCCGGGCCUUGUACACACCGCCCGUCACACCAUGGAAGUUGGCCACGCCCGAAGCCGUUACUCCAACCCUUGUGGAGGAGGACGUCGAAGGUGGGGCUGAUGACUGGGGUGAAGUCGUAACAAGGUAUCCGUACCGGAAGGUGCGGAUGGAUCACCUCCUAA
rnacentral:rRNA from 1 species